GAUGAAGAACGUAGCGAAAUGCGAGAAGUAAUGUGAAUUGCAGAAUUCAGUGAAUCAUCGAAUCUUUGAACGCACAUUGCGCCCGCUGGUACUCCGGCGGGCACGCCUGUCCGAGCGUCAUUUCAACCCUCAAGCCCUCCUUCGGGAUGGGCCUGGUGUUGGGGCUCGGCCGCCAUCUCCGGCGGCCGUCCCCUAAAUACAGUGGCGGUCACGUCGCGACUCCUUUGCGUAGUAGAAACACCUCGCUCCGGAUAGCAACGCGGUCCACGCCGUAAAAUCCCCAAUUUUCAAUGGUUGACCUCGGAUCAGGUGGGAAUACCCGCUGAACUUAAGCAUAUCAAUAAGCGGAGGA
rnacentral:misc_RNA from 1 species